rnacentral:rRNA from 1 species
UCCGUUUGAUCCCGGCGGAGGUUACUGCUAUCGAGGUUCGACUAAGCCAUGCGAGUCGAAUGUAGCAAUACAUGGCGUACUGCUCAGUAACACGUGGACAACCUGCCCUUGAGACGGGGAUAAACCCGGGAAACUGGGUAUAAUACCCGAUAGAUCUCGAUUGCUGGAAUGCAUCGAGCUUGAAAGCUCCGGCGCUCAAGGAUGGGUCUGCGGCCUAUCAGGUAGUAGUGGGUGUAGCGUACCUACUAGCCUACGACGGGUACGGGUUGUGAGAGCAAGAGCCCGGAGAUGGAUUCUGAGACACGAAUCCAGGCCCUACGGGGUGCAGCAGGCGCGAAAACUUUACGAUGCUGGAAACAGCGAUAAGGGGACCUCGAGUGCCAGGUUACAAAUCUGGCUGUCGUGAUGCCUAAAAAGCAUUGCAUAGCAAGGGCCGGGCAAGACCGGUGCCAGCCGCCGCGGUAACACCGGCGGCUCGAGUGGUAACCGUUAUUAUUGGGUCUGAAGGGUCUGUAGCCGGCCGGAUAAGUCUCUUGGGAAAUCUGGCAGCUUAACUGUCAGGCUUUCAGGAGAUACUGUCUGGCUCGAGGCCGGGAGAGGUGAGAGGUACUUCAGGGGUAGGGGUGAAAUCUUGUAACCCUUGAAGGACCACCAGUGGCGAAGGCGUCUCACCAGAACGGACCUGACGGCAAGGGAC